rnacentral:rRNA from 1 species
UACGGGGGGGGCAAGCGUUGUUCGGAAUUACUGGGCGUAAAGGGCUAGUAGGCGGCCAACUAAGUCAGACGUGAAAUCCCUCGGCUUAACCGGGGAACGGCCUCUGAUACUGGCUGGCUGGAGUUCGGGAGAGGGAUGCGGAAUUCCAGGUGUAGCGGUGAAAUGCGUAGAUAUCUGGAGGAACACCGGUGGCGAAGGCGGCAUCCUGGACCGACACUGACGCUGAGGAGCGAAAGCCAGGGGAGCAAACGGG